rnacentral:rRNA from 1 species
GACGAACGCUGGCGGCGUGCCUAAUACAUGCAAGUAGAACGCUGAAGAGAGGAGCUUGCUCUUCUUGGAUGAGUUGCGAACGGGUGAGUAACGCGUAGGUAACCUGCCUUGUAUCGGGGGAUAACUAUUGGAAACGAUAGCUAAUACCGCAUAACAAUAGGUGACACAUGUCAUUUAUUUGAAAGGGGCAAUUGCUCCACUACAAGAUGGACCUGCGUUGUAUUAGCUAGUAGGUGAGGUAACGGCUCACCUAGGCGACGAUACAUAGCCGACCUGAGAGGGUGAUCGGCCACACUGGGACUGAGACACGGCCCAGACUCCUACGGGAGGCAGCAGUAGGGAAUCUUCGGCAAUGGGGGCAACCCUGACCGAGCAACGCCGCGUGAGUGAAGAAGGUUUUCGGAUCGUAAAGCUCUGUUGUAAGUCAAGAACGAGUGUGAGAGUGGAAAGUUCACACUGUGACGGUAGCUUACCAGAAAGGGACGGCUAACUACGUG